AUCGCUUUUCGGCCUUUUGGCUAAGAUCAAGUGUAGUAUCUGUUCUUAUCAGUUCAAUAUCUGAUACAUCUCUGGGGACCAUAUAUUAAAUGAUUUUUCAAACAAGGAAAUGGAAAAAGAGCUUGCUCUGUCCACUCCAUGCAUUGACCUGGUAUUGCAGUACCUCCUGGACUGGUGCACUAAAA